UCCCUGGUGGCUCAGUGGUAAAGAAUCUGCCUGCCAAUGCAGGAGACACCAGGUUCAAUCCCUGGUCGGGGAU
rnacentral:tRNA from 1 species